UUUUUGAGGAAAAAGAGAAUAUCAGAGAAUCACUUUGUAACUAAGUCAAGUAGCUAUAGCAAUGGGGUGGUGUGGAUCUAUUAAAAGAUGAAAAAGAAAUAGAGAUUGGAGUGAAGUUAAAUCAAGGAUAUGAUAGUUUCAAUCUCCCAAUCUCUACUGCUUUUAUGUUCAGAUACUAGAUAGCUAUAAACAAGAAACAAAAUGUAAAGGAGAGAAUAUUAUACAGAACAUUAAAUAAGUAGGUGUAUGAUCAGAGAAUUAGGGCAAGAAAAAGGAAAGAGAAAGGCCCAGAUUGAAUCUAGGCUGCACAGUGCUCAAGUGAGAGAUUUGAGAGAAUAGAUGGAGCUGACCUGGUUUGCAAAGAGGAAGCAAUUAGUAAGGAAAAUAGGGUUUGUUGUUGUUGUAAAAUACUAGUAGUAAUGGAGCUGGAGUUGCACUGAAACUAAAUUGCUGGAUUGUUUCUCUCAAACACACUUCCCAAUUGUCCACUACUCCUAAAAAACUGGGUCUUUGAUUUCUAGCACCAAUCAGGUGGUUUUCCUCUGCAACUGAUUCUCUUGAAAACCCCAAAACCCUGGUUUCCCCUGCAUCAAUUUACAGCAUCAAAGCUUGGAAAUUAGAGAAGACAUGUGCAGACCUCUGGGCUCACCACAUGGCACUUUCCCUCCAAUUUCCAUAGAGAAAAACAAAACAUCCAAACAAUAGAAAAUUCCCAACUACUAUAUUACUAUAUAUUCAAUACUACUAUAUUCUCCUUCAUUUAUUUCUUUGCAAUUCCAAGAAAACCAUUAUCACAACCAUAUACCUGAAAGCUUCCUAAGAGAUUCAAAGAUGGAUAAACACAUCACCCAAAGAACUUAUGUAAAAAGAACCCAUUUUCAUAUUUGUACUCUGCUCUUCUUCAAAGUUCAAACCAAUCAACCUGUGCAGGCCUAUGAAACUCAAAAAACUCGACUCUUUUUGUGAAGCCAAAGUGACUUUCUUUCACAAAUCUCUGUUCCAAUAGACUCAAAACACCACUGAACUGAAAGUUUAUAGUCUAUAGGGCUCUUUCUCUAUCUGCCAAAACUUUUUAGAAUACCCAUCAUCAAAAGAUUCAUUUUUCUUUCUUUUAGCCACCCUUUUGGAAAACUGCAGGAACUGAUCAAGUAUCAAGAGAAAAUAACCAACCCCUUCAGUAAAAUUUUCAGAUCAUUUGGUUGAAUCAUGACAUCAAAACUUUUCAAUGCAUAUGACUUGUCAGAUAUUAUUGGUACUACAUGCUAUAUCUGCUAUUUCAGGCCUUCUUUGGGACAUAAUAUCAAGCAUCUAACAUGCAUUAAAAUUAUCCAAAAGCCCAAUGCCUGCAGAUAUCUUCUUCCUUAGAAAACUAUAUUGCUUCAUUAAGGUUAGAUUUCUUUGAAUUUAAACAUCUCCCUGUGAUUUUAAGAACAUUGUUAACUGUUAAAAAGAUAGCACCAACAAAAAUGUCACCAACACUAUUUGGGUAGUACUUAAAAAAGGGUAAUGCCAUUAUCGAGUUUCCAUUAUAAUCCAUGCUUUUGUCUUGGUUUGGUGCCUUGAAUGAUGGCUUUAUGCAUGCUUUAGGCAUAUGCUGCAUCAAUAUGUCUCUCUUUCUAUAUAUAAAAUCUAGAAAGAUGAUAUGGGUGCAAGUUGUGGGACACAAGAAGAAGCCCAU
rnacentral:lncRNA from 1 species